ACUUACGGCCAUACCACCCUGAACACGCCCGAUCUCGUUUGAUCUUGGAAACUAAGCACGGGCCGAGGAAUACCAGGUGCUGUUAGCA
rnacentral:rRNA from 1 species